AUUGGCGUGCGCGGUUUCUACCUACCUCCCAACCUGCAGUCCAAACCCACCCACUGCUAGCCAUACUGAGUAAAGCGGCACACGCGUGCAUAAACGUCCCCAUUAUCUCCCUGGGCCUCUGGGAAAACGCUGUCCAAAUAUCGGAUACUACCGAAAAACCCCCUCACUAAUCCUUCUGCUCGAGAGCCACACGGUCGACUCGGGAUAUGGACCUAUCACAUCCCCUCCAACACUAUUCCCCCUCGAGCCACUCAGCUAGUUCGACCCGCUAGAAGCCCACAAACGGCCACUACAGGCCUAGCUCGUCAGACAGCACCACUAAGCCCCACCGAAACCGACACACGCUCCGACUCCUCCCGCACGCAUCCUGCGGGGAAUCCUGCGCAAUGGGCAGAUCACCGACGCUCAAGCAUCGUCCGCGCCUGUGAUGAAGGUCUUCCGAUGGAAAAGCACUUUGCAACCCGGACUGAAAACCCCUGGCGCUAAUACUCCAGGGCUUGACGGUACCGGGAGAAAAAGCACCGCCUAACUCUGUGCCACGCAGACGCGGUAAUACAGAUGGCGCAAGCGUUGUUCAGAAUCAUUGCGCAUAAAGCGCAUAUAGGCGGCUUUGAAAGUCAGAUGUGAAAACACUCGGCUCAACCGAGGAAAUGCGUUCGAAACUGCAGAGAUUGAGUACCAAGACGAGGGUGGCAGAAUUCCACAACUAAAGGUGAAGUUCGUAGAACAUCUGUGGAGAAACACCGAUUAGCAAACGCGGGUUCACAUGGACAGUCACUAACGCUGAGACGCCGAAAGCGUGGGUAGCUACCCAGAUUAUGAUACCCUGGUAGUACAACGCGGUAACCAGACGAGGAAAACAGGUGUCGCGGGUAGGUCACCCCCGCGGUGACAGGGCAGCGAACGCGACUAAGUUCUCCGCCUGAGAAUGUACGGUCGCAAGACUAAAACUCAACGGAACUGUACGGGUUUGAGCCCGCACAAGCGUAGUGGAGGCGGAUGAGGGUGUAAUUCCACGCAACGCUGAGAGAACCUAAAAAGAUCUUUACAUCCGACGCAGUGACGCCUCAGAGAGUAAGGAGAUGGUUGCCCGCAUGAGGCGAACCAAGAGACAGGGUCGGCAUGGAUAGACGUCAGCUCGUGUAAUUGCUGAGAUGCUGGGGGAAGUCCCGCAACGAGCGCAACCCUCGCCUUUAGUUGCCGCGCAAGCGGAUCUGCAGAGGGAAAGCCGGUGUUAAACCGGAGGAAGGUGGGGAUGACGUCAAGUCCUCAUGGCCUUUAUGACCAGGGCUACACACGUGCUACAAUGGCCGCUACAAAGCGUUGCCAACUCGCGAGUGGGAGAUAAUCGUAUAAAACCGGUCUCAGUUCAGAAAGGAGUGUGCAACUAGACUCCAUGAAGGGUGAUUCGGUAUUAAUAGCACAUCAGCACGAUGCGGUGAGUCCGUUCCCGGGCCUUGUACACACCCCCCGUCACACCAUGGGAGUCGAUUGGUCCAGAAGUCAUCUCAGCGAGAGGUGCCCACGGAGGGUCAGUAACUGGGGUGAAGUCGAACAAGUUACCCGA
rnacentral:rRNA from 1 species